rnacentral:rRNA from 1 species
UACAGAGGUCUCAAGCGUUGUUCGGAUUCAUUGGGCGUAAAGGGUGCGUAGGUGGCGGGGUAAGUCUGGUGUGAAAUCUCGGGGCUCAACCCCGAAACUGCACUGGAUACUGCCUUGCUAGAGUACUGGAGAGGAGAUUGGAAUUUACGGUGUAGCAGUGAAAUGCGUAGAUAUCGUAAGGAAGACCAGUGGCGAAGGCGAAUCUCUGGACAGUUACUGACACUGAGGCACGAAGGCCAGGGGAGCAAACGGG